AGCCAGGAUAGUUCAAUAGGUAGAACAAUAAUUUCAUGAAUUAAGAAUGAGAAUUCGAGUUUCUCUCCCGGCUU
rnacentral:tRNA from 1 species